rnacentral:rRNA from 1 species
AUACGUAGGUGACAAGCGUUAUCCGGAUUUACUGGGCGUAAAGGGCGUGUAGGCGGUCUUGCAAGUCAGAAGUGAAAUUCCUGAGCUCAACUCGGGCGCUGCUUCUGAAACUGCAGGACUUGAGUGCUGGAGGGGAUAGCGGAAUUCCUAGUGGAGCGGUAAAAUGCGCAGAUAUUAGGAAGAACACCGGUGGCGAAGGCGGCGAUCUGGACAGUAACUGACGCUGAGGCGCGAAAGCGUGGGGAGCAAACAGGAUUAGAUCCCCUGGUAGUCCACGCCGUAAACGAUGAGUACUAGCUGUCGGGGGUAUCGACUCCCUCUGUGCCGCAGUUAACACAAUAAGUAUUCCGCCUGGGGAGUACGGCCGCAAGGUUGAAACUCAAAUGAAUUGACGGGG